UUGUGUGGGGGAAAAUACUCUAUGCAAUGGCUUGAACCGGGUAAAAGUCGUAACAAGGUAUCUGUAGGUGAACCUGCAGAUGGAUCAUCG
rnacentral:rRNA from 1 species